GUGAGGAAUAUUGGUCAAUGGGCGGGAGCCUGAACCAGCCAAGUCGCGUGAAGGAAGAAGGAUCUAUGGUUCGUAAACUUCUUUUGCAGGGGAAUAAAGUGCAGGACGUGUCCUGUUUUGUAUGUACCCUGAGAAUAAGGAUCGGCUAACUCCGUGCCAGCAGCCGCGGUAAUACGGAGGAUCCGAUCGUUAUCCGGAUUUAUUGGGUUUAAAGGGUGCGUAGGUGGUUUGAUAAGUCAGCGGUGAAAGUUUGCAGCUUAACUGUAAAAAUGCCGUUGAAACUGUCGGACUUGAGUGUAAAUGAGGUAGGCGGAAUGCGUGGUGUAGCGGUGAAAUGCAUAGAUAUCACGCAGAACUCCGAUUGCGAAGGCAGCUUACUAAGCUACAACUGACACUGAAGCACGAAAGCGUGGGGAUCAAACAGGAUUAGAUACCCCAGUAGUCC
rnacentral:rRNA from 1 species